UUCUAAUGUGCUGUGGAGAAGUUUACCAGACAGAACCAAAGUCCAUUGUGGCGAAGAAAGUCAGAAAAGAUAUUUGGCAUGUGAAUCUGGUUAAAUAUAAUACGGUACCAAAACAAUACGGUUAGGACCUCUUACUUUCUCUUUUUGCAGCUCAUAAGUGCUUCCAUCUUAGAGUCUUUUUCCGUAGAAACAUGCGAAAUAAUUAUGGUUUAAUGAAGUAGAGAACUGAUGAAUACAUGUGCUUACAAUUCAUAUAAGAAAGCAUACUGUUGUCUGUCAUGCUCUUAUACUAAUCCUCAACUAAUUUUUAUUCUCGCAGCUAGCAUAUCUUGCGACCACUGCACUAAUGUUCAAUCGCCUAGAACUGCUUUGCCUAGUUAAUUCUGCAGCAUGGCAAAGCCUUUAUCUUGUUCAUCUCAGCAAUUACAUCUCCA
rnacentral:lncRNA from 1 species